CCUACGGGUGACUGCAGUGGGGGAUAUUGCACAAUGGGGGGAACCCUGAUGCAGCGACGCCGCGUGGGUGAAGGAGCGUUUCGGUAUGUAAAGCUCUAUCAGCAGGGAAGAAAGAAAUGACGGUACCUGACUAAGAAGCCCCGGCUAACUACGUGCCAGCAGCCGCGGUAAUACGUAGGGGGCAAUCGUUAUCCGGAUUUAAUGGGUGUCAAGGGGGCGUAGACGGGGAGGCAAGUCUGAAGUGAAAGGCGGGGGCCCAACCCCCGGACUGCUUGGGAAACUGUAUGGCUGGAGUGCAGGAGAGGUAAGUGGAAUGCCUGGUGUAGCGGUGAAAUGCGUAGAUAUUAGGAGGAACACCAGUGGCGAAGGCGGCUUACUGGACUGUAACUGACGUUGAGGCACGAAAGCGUGGGGAGCGAACAGGAUUAGAUACCCGGGUAGUC
rnacentral:rRNA from 1 species